rnacentral:rRNA from 1 species
GGGGUGCUCGAGUGGCGAACGGGUGAGUAACACGUGAGUAACCUGCCCUUGACUUUGGGAUAACUUCAGGAAACUGGGGCUAAUACCGGAUAGGAGCUCCUGCUGCAUGGUGGGGUUGGAAAGUUUCGGCGGUUGGGGAUGGACUCGCGGCUUAUCAGCUUGUUGGUGGGGUAGUGGCUUACCAAGGCUUUGACGGGUAGCCGGCCUGAGAGGGUGACCGGCCACAUUGGGACUGAGAUACGGCCCAG